rnacentral:misc_RNA from 1 species
AACUGAUACUACCUGCGGGAACCUGCGGAGGGAUCAUUAGUGAACGCCCUCACGGGCUUAUAACUAUUCCAAACCUCUGUGAACCGUGCCCUUCGGGGCUAUUUUACAAACAUGGUGUAAUGAACGUCAUAUAUCAUAACAAAACAAAACUUUUAGCAAUGGAUCUCU